CAGCCGCCGCGGUAAUACAGAGGGUGCGAGCGUUAAUCGGAUUUACUGGGCGUAAAGCGUGCGUAGGCGGCUUCUUAAGUCGGAUGUGAAAUCCCUGAGCUUAACUUAGGAAUUGCAUUCGAUACUGGGAAGCUAGAGUAUGGGAGAGGAUGGUAGAAUUCCAGGUGUAGCGGUGAAAUGCGUAGAGAUCUGGAGGAAUACCGGUGGCGAAGGCGGCCCCCUGGACAAAGACUGACGCUCAGGUGCGAAAGCGUGGGGAGCAAACAGGAUUAGAUACCCCAGUAGUCCCUGUCUCUUAUAC
rnacentral:rRNA from 1 species